GACGAACGCUGGCGGCGUGCUUAACACAUGCAAGUCGAACGAAGAGCGAUGGAAGCUUGCUUCUAUCAAUCUUAGUGGCGAACGGGUGAGUAACGCGUAAUCAACCUGCCCUUCAGAGGGGGACAACAGUUGGAAACGACUGCUAAUACCGCAUACGAUCUAAACUCGGCAUCGAGGAUAGAUGAAAGGUGGCCUCUACAUGUAAGCUAUCACUGAAGGAGGGGAUUGCGUCUGAUUAGCUAGUUGGAGGGGUAACGGCCCACCAAGGCGAUGAUCAGUAGCCGGUCUGAGAGGAUGAACGGCCACAUUGGGACUGAGACACGGCCCAGACUCCUACGGGAGGCAGCAGUGGGGAAUCUUCCGCAAUGGACGAAAGUCUGACGGAGCAACGCCGCGUGAGUGAUGACGGCCUUCGGGUUGUAAAGCUCUGUUAAUCGGGACGAAAGGCCUUCUUGCGAA
rnacentral:rRNA from 1 species